rnacentral:rRNA from 5 species
GGUUAAGCGACUAAGCGUACACGGUGGAUGCCCUGGCAGUCAGAGGCGAUGAAGGACGUGCUAAUCUGCGAUAAGCGCCGGUAAGGUGAUAUGAACCGUUAUAACCGGCGAUUUCCGAAUGGGGAAACCCAGUGUGAUUCGUCACACUAUCAUUAACUGAAUCCAUAGGUUAAUGAGGCGAACCGGGGGAACUGAAACAUCUAAGUACCCCGAGGAAAAGAAAUCAACCGAGAUUCCCCCAGUAGCGGCGAGCGAACGGGGAGGAGCCCAGAGCCUGAAUCAGCAUGUGUGUUAGUGGAAGCGUCUGGAAAGGCGCGCGAUACAGGGUGACAGCCCCGUACACAAAAGCGCAUGUGCUGUGAGCUCGAUGAGUAGGGCGGGACACGUGGUAUCCUGUCUGAAUAUGGGGGGACCAUCCUCCAAGGCUAAAUACUCCUGACUGACCGAUAGUGAACCAGUACCGUGAGGGAAAGGCGAAAAGAACCCCGGCGAGGGGAGUGAAAAAGAACCUGAAACCGU